CUGCCGGGUUUGGCCUCUGGGGCCACGACUGGCUUUCCCUGAUGUAUGGCAAGAGCCCCGCGCUUGUGCUUCCACUUCUCCUGAGUUUACAGCUCACAGGUAAGAACUGGCGGGCUUCUAGGAUUUUCUACCAUUGCCGCCCAUUCUGUAAAGACAGAGCUCAUGGCUUGAAGAAAUCUCAAGGGCUCCGUUGGGAGAUCGUGCCCCAACUGCAAUUCGUUCUAGUCCAGACUUCGCCGAAACUUCAGUUCGGUGGGUUGCUUUGGGGCAGUACUUUGGGCAAACAGGUUUAGGUGUGUUUGGCCGCCCGUGAUUGAGGCACACAGAGGGCUUUCUGAUCUCAGGUUACACACCAUCUUUGUGUGGCUGCUCUCAACCUCGGGCUGCUGGCUAGAUUUGGCCCUUGGAUUUCCGUGGGAGGAUUUUGUCUGCGACUCCCUGCAGCACCAGAGAGCAAACCUGGAUUGUCAGAGCGAGAGUCCCGCUGUGGUUUUGAAGCUGUCCCAACCAAUGCACGUACCAGACUUGUAAAUAAGCCACGUGGUGUAAGGCUUCCAGGGGUGCAGGCAAGCGCAACUGCUGGGGUGGAUUGACCUGCAGGCUAGCAGCAGCCCCAAGUCUACAUGUAGGAAAACUUCCCUGCUUGGAGACUUCUUUUUUCCACAAAACAAAACAAAACAAAAAAACAUACUGUGUUGCUUGAUCGUAAUACGCCACGUCUGACCAACGUUUGGAUUUUUGUUUCUUCUUUCCAUCUCCUUUGCUGAUGUUUGUAGUUUCUGGUUAUAGUUCUGAAAUUGGUGCGGUAAGGCUGUGAAGAAAGUGAGAACACCAGGUAGUUUUACCUCUAAUUGGCCCUCGGGAUGGGAGGGUCAAAGCUGUGUGCAGGCAGGAGUAUGUAGACUCCUGGUGAAGUGAAUUUGAAGGUUGGCUUACUUGGAAAGUGUCAGCGUUUUUUUCUCAAUGAUACACCACUGUUAACCUCUUCCUUCCCUCCAUUGCAGCCCUUUGUCCUACAGAAGCUGUGGAAAUUUACACCUCCGGGGCCCUGGAGGCAGUCAACGGGACAGAUGUUCGGUUAAAAUGCACUUUCUCCAGCUUUGCCCCUGUGGGAGAUGCGCUAACUGUGACGUGGAAUUUCCGACCUCGAGAUGGGGGUCGUGAGCAGUUUGUAAGUAGAUUCUUGUCACCUUCCAGAGGACUCUUGACAAGAAUGCAUUGUGGCAAUCCUUCCCCCCCGCCCCCCAUCUUUCCCAUGUUCGGCGCAUGCGUGGGGUUAAGUGGGGACCCAGUUCUUGGGACAGAGAGUAACAGGUCUAAGAAAAGGGAAGCCAGAGAAUAUUCCAAGGAGCUGGAUCAUUGGUUAGACCUAAUGAUGCUUCUCUUCCCACCCCCCGCCCCCAUCUCGGCCUCCUGCCCGGGAUAGAGAAGGAAAGAUGAUCCGUUCUCCUCUGUAGGUAUUCUACUACCACAUGGACCCCUUCAGGCCCAUGAGCGGACGGUUCAAAGACCGGGUGGUCUGGGACGGAAACCCCGAGCGAUAUGACGUCUCCAUCUUGCUCUGGAAGCUGCAGUUUGACGACAAUGGGACAUACACCUGCCAGGUGAAGAAUCCACCUGAUGUUGAUGGUCUGGUUGGGACGAUCCGGCUCAGCGUUGUGCACACUGGUAGGUUUUGGGAAGUGAAAUCUCUCUCUCGCUCUGUCUCUCUCUCUGUCUCUCUCUGUCUGUCUGUCUCUCUGACUGACACACACACACACACACACACACACACACACACACACACGCACGCACGCACGCACGCACGCACACACGCACGCACGCACGCACGCCAUCCUUUGUGAAGCUGGAUGGGAGAGGAGGAAAGGCUUUAGGUCUUCAGAGCUGGGAACUUCAGAGACUGAGGAGUCCUGGGGUGAAAAAAUAAAGACUUUGUUUGGUUACGGAAAGAGACAAAAUAAUACAAAGAAAUCUGAGGAAUCUGUACAAGAAUGGCCUUGAGGUUGUAGAAAGGACAGGAAGUGACUGAUAAAGACACUCACAAUAGGCCUGUUCAUCCUUUCAUUUAUUCAAGAUGCUUAUUGGGUACCUGGUGUGCUAGGCACAGCCCAAAGUGCUUGAUACUCUAGCUCAUUUAAUCCUGACACAUUCUCCAUAAUAGUCACCAGUGUUUACUCAGGACUCCCCACUGUCAGGGGCUUUAUGCUGUACAUUUUUUAAAAAAAUUCUCUUAAAAACAGUUUUAAGAUCGUUAUUUUAUGUGCAUGGGUGGUUUGCUUGCAUAUAUGUCUGUGUAACACUGAAGUGCCUGGUGUCCUUGGAAACCAGAAGAGGGUGUCAGAGCCCCUGGAAAUGGAGUUACAGAUGGUUAUGACUGACCAUGUGAAUGCUGGGAAUUGACUUGAGGACCUCUGGAAAAGCAGCCAGUGCUCUUAACGGCGGAGUCAUCAUCUCUCCAGCUUCAUCUUACUUAUUCUUUACACAUCUUGAGUCUGUUAUAUAUUUAAUGUCUCCCAUUUUACUAACGAGGAAACUGAGGCUCACCAAGUGUAAGUCACCAGUUCUUGUAGUUAGUAAAUGAAGUCAUGUCAGGUUCACGCCCAACCAUCUCAGACUCUCAAACUGUUCUCCAGCUCGUGUAGUGGGUUCCUGUACUAUAAAAACAACCUAGGAAUGAUGCCAGGUGACAAAGAACUUGGACCACAGCACUUCUGAGUCGGAGAACUGCAGUUGCGCCCUGGCUACUUGGGUAUCAAUUAUACACACAUUUUGCUUUUGUCAUCAUCUGUAGGGUGAUAAUAAUAUAACAAAGAUUUCUGUGAGGACGAAUGAUGCAAUGAACUUGUAAAGUCUUUCAAACUCUGAGUUGUACUGAAAAUUAUAAUAGUAACAUAGUAAAAUUAUAAUAGUAACUGGGCAGGCACAGUUUUAUUUUAUUUUUUUAUAAGCACUCAACAAAUGGAUAGUGUGCCGGGCAUGGUGGCGCAUGCCUUUAAUCCCAGCACUCGGGAGGCAGAGGCAGGCAGAUCUCUGAGUUCAAGGCCAGCCUGGUCUACAAAGUGAGUUCCAGGACAGCCAGGGCUACACAGAGAAACCCAGUCUCGUAAAAACAAAAACAAAAACAAACAAACAAAAGAAAUGGAUAUGGUUAUGUCUAAACAUAGGAAGCUGAGGUUCCAUAAACAAAUAAAUAAAUAACCCAGGUUACACAGACAAUAAGACAGAGCUAGCUCUCUCUGGGGUGUGUGUAUACCUUGCUAUUUGAGAAAAGAUCUCUCUAUGUAAUCCAGGCUGAUCUCCAACUUGAGAGCUUUCUGCCUCAGUUUCUUAAGAGUUGAGGUAGUAUUUAUUCCUCACACACCACAGUGUUCAAAACGUCUUAAUCUGUCACAUGGUGUGAUUGUCUCCUAUUACUCCUUCCCAGUUUAGUUUAAAACUACUGUUUUAGGCUUUCCUCCCAAGAAAGAGCCAUGUUGUCUACAUCAGUCCUCUGAGUACUGAAAAAAGUAAUGUAAUAUUUUCAGAAGUCAGGGUUUUUGUUUUUUUGUUUUUUUGUUUUUCUAAUAUCUAGGCC
rnacentral:lncRNA from 1 species